rnacentral:rRNA from 1 species
AACGAACGCUGGCGGCAUGCCUAACACAUGCAAGUCGAACGAGACCUUCGGGUCUAGUGGCGCACGGGUGCGUAACGCGUGGGAACCUGCCCCUAGGUUCGGAAUAACUCCCCGAAAGGGGUGCUAAUACCGGAUAAUGUCUUCGGACCAAAGAUUUAUCGCCUUUGGAUGGGCCCGCGUUGGAUUAGCUAGUUGGUAGGGUAAAAGCCUACCAAGGCGACGAUCCAUAGCUGGUCUGAGAGGAUGAUCAGCCACACUGGGACUGAGACACGGCCCAGACUCCUACGGGAGGCAGCAGUGGGGAAUAUUGGACAAUGGGCGAAAGCCUGAUCCAGCAAUGCCGCGUGAGUGAUGAAGGCCUUAGGGUUGUAAAGCUCUUUUACCCGGGAUGAUAAUGACAGUACCGGGACAAUAAGCUCCGGCUAACUCCGUG